CAUACUGUAGCUCAGUUGGUUAGAGCAUUGCUCGGGAAUAGCAAGGUCCCGGGUUCGAGUCCCGGUGGUGUGA